AACGCCAGAAACAUUAUCAAAUGGGCCCUUGAUGUAGAUAUCAAUACCGUUUUGAUCCCUUCUUUAACCCAUGUAAUUGUCUAUUUCACCCACUCACAUUCUUACUAAAUAAUUGUCUCAUCUUUUCAACAUUCUUGAUUUAUAACAUUUUCCGAACUCCUUAAUUCUCCCGAUCCAAUCCAACCCCCAAGUGAAAGGCAGGAUUUGAUCCCAUGACAUGAGGACAAGCGGCAACGCACUGUCACUUUAUUGCCUAUGUUGGCUAACACCUUCGGUCACUGCCUUAUCCUUAACAACCAUGUCCAUCCUUUUCAUUUCUUUACCAUGAAGGUAGGAUCAAUUUCCCUUAACAUGUUUAUGGGUCAUCUAGGUGGUUUGAAGUUGUAUGUAACAGGGGAGAACUGGAGAUGUGAUUCUGGUGGUGUAGCCCAUUGUAGACCAACUACUUACGUAAGGAUGCCGCCACUUGUCAGAGGGUUGCAAGAUCCUUCCUGGCUAGGAAGGAGUGAGAAAGGGAGAGAGCUUGUGAAUUGUGGAGUAAAAAGAGUCUCGCUAGACUGGCAAUCAGCCAGACUGGGUACAUUCUAAAAUGCAGUUAGAAUCUGUAUUACUAGAACCCUUCUAGUUGCAGUGAUAAUUGGAAUCCUAAAACCCUACAAAGUGCAAUUGCUAAUUGCAUUUGUUCAUUAUGAUUUGAGCAGAGCAGGUUAUUCCCAAUUCCAUUAAUAAGUGGAUCUUUUACAAUAUUGUAUCCAGAGCUACUCAAAAUUCAACUUGUAUAGAAUGAAAUUGUGUUACUCAUCCUAGAAAAGUUUAUUCCCUUAUCAAUGUGCUGGUCAGAAGAAAAACUUAAGUUUUUCUCGUUCAUUUUUUAUUGGAAUUUCUCAACUCAUUGGAUGGCCUACGAGACCUCCGGUGCUCUUUGUAUCCUAAUACCUCUAUCUGGGGUGACAUUUUUUUUGUGGAUUCCUUAAUUACUGCAGAGUUACAUUGAUGAGGAAGAUCUUUGAAUGCUUGAGUGGUACUCACAAUGAAAUAUACCAUUCUGUUGGGUCAAUGGUUCAGUCAGAGCAUUUCCUAAUUUUGCUGUAUUUCACUGUUGCUAUGUGACCAUAGCUGUGAAGUUAAUGAUGGUUUCUCAAAUGGUGGUGGUCCAAAACUCAUUUUCUAUUCUGCUCUGGAUGUAGAUCCUACUGUGAUCCUCCCCGAGAAUUUUAUUAUCGGAAUUAAUGACAGUGACGAAAAUGGUUCUCAGGAAGAUUUCUCCCAACAGAAAAUUUUCAAGAAUGCCAGAUUCAUUGGUGAUAGAAUUCUGGAAAAUAUCCACCAAGAUGAGUCCUGUUUUGAUGUUAGAUCAGAUUUGGAUGAGUUCUAACUCAGGCUGUCAACUUUUCUUGGAGGAGUUCUCAGAAUUAUUUUGAAGACUAUGGACCCUGCCAAUGAGAACCGCUGUGCAAAGGCUAGUUACAAGUUCUUCCUGUGGACCAAUCUGCAAACUAAUUACAGUUAACACCUUGAACACCUACCAGUACAUAUGAAGGCUUCAUUUGUUUCGGCAUAAAAUAAUCGGUUAAACAAAUUUGACAGUAAAAUUAGAUUUUCCGACGUUUAUUUUGUAUUUUGAAAAAUUACCAUGAAGGAAAAUUUUACCCAGACCUGUCAAUUUACCGGAAAACACGCAGGAAAAAUUUUACGUUUAAAAUGAACGUAAAAUCUCCCGCAAAAUCCAAACUUUCGUGCUUGAUCGAAAGAAACAUAUGCGAGCAAAGGCAUCUGUCCCAUCGUCUUCCUUGAUGUUGACUCUCUCUUGCAAAGAACUAUACAGGUUAUUCUCUCUGCCUCUCUUUUCUCCUUCUCCCUCUCUAAGGCACAGGUUUGUGCUUUGCAGUGAACACCAUACCAGUAGGUGUUCAAACAAGCACUAGAUCGAUUGAGGUUGCUGGCAUGGGAGUCUCUGCAACUCCAUUCGGUCGAUGUCCUAUGAUGGAGACGAUCAUCUUGACAGGGAAGAAGUGAAGGAUGGAGAGCUUGACAUUGCUAAGAACAUUGGGGACCAGAGUUCGUGGCUGUUGUGUUGCUCAUGUUGUUAAUGCCAGGUUUGGUAAUCCAAGCGCAGAGUCAGAACCAUUUCAAUCAAGUUUAGCAGCUUCCAGUGUAGGGGUAUUGAUUCUGGCUCACUCCAUUCUCUAAUUCUCCCUCAUCUGCAUCUUCUUGCUUGCUAUUGGGGUUCACGUUUACCUUGGUUGAUGAUGACAUCAACAUACAUGACACAACUACAUUUAUGAUGAUUUCCUUCGUUCCUUUCUUGCCUAGGGUUACUGAUUUCCUUUGCUUGCCUUGAUUUCUUCUCACGCUGUUGCUUAUAUAUCUCUCCUAUUCUUUGUGCCAUCAGUGGUAUAUUAUUACAAGUGAUUUUAGUUUUUAUUUUAUUUAUUUGUGAGCAAUAUUGCUACUUUUUUUCCCAAUUGCUGUUUCAGAUUGGGAAUAUUUGUAUUUGCAUUUCUAUGGUCUUGUUGGAUUAUCUCCAUGGGAACUGGUCCAUGUUCUUGCCGAUAUGUUUUAUAUGAAGAAGAAUACUGAUGAAUUAUUCAAGGACUUCUAAUUAGUCAAUAGAGGAAGCUGGAAGCAUAUAGUUCUGGUUUCUAUCCUGGGGUUAAAAUUUUAAACUUAUGAUUUCAGGACCCAAAAAUCAAAAUGGGUCCAAAUGGCUAGAACUAUUGUAGUUUCCGGGUAGAUCUGUUCUUACUUCAUAGCUGUAUUUCAUUAGUUUGUCAAAAGGAAGAUCUUAAGUUUUCCAUUGUGUACCUUGCCCCACUGGAUUAGGCGGCUGGAGAGGUGACAUGCCUCUAUUUUUAUCAAUUUAUCUCAACUAUGCCUUAUAUCAAGUCCCAACUACUUGACAUUGAUAACAUGAUUACUGCUCUGCAUUCCAACUCAAGUUGGCAGUUCCAUAACCUCUAUUAAUUCAUUAGUACCUUGCUUCUUACAUAUACUCAACUCAACGAAGCCUUUUCCCAACCAAGUGGGGUCAGCUACAUGGAUUCUGUCUUGCCAUUUAACUCUUUUUAAGGUCAUGGUGAUUAUGAAGCCUAUGCCAUUCAUAUAUAUUGUCACAUAAGCUUAGCUUUUGUUAACUCCACUCAUGACAUCUGAUAACUUCUUUUGGAAGUAAUUCCACUUAACCAUCUAUUUUACUAUCUCUCCCUGACAAAAAAGUUAUUCCCCUCGUUUAUUCCCUCAGCUUUACCACAAAUAUUCUAAAAUUUUGCGUAAACCUACAUCAGGGUGGUAACGGUUCAUCCCUUCUUCCACUGCAACUCCUUUUUCUACAUUCUGCUUCAAUAUGAAGAUGUUACAAUUUGGGAACUCCCUUGUGGCUUAUCUCAGUUGUUUAUGUGAAAUUUGCAUCUGGGUGUUGAUGAAUAUUAAGGUCUUAUUGGUUUAUAUUAUUAGAGAGGUAAAUGGAAAUUCAUUUCAAGCUUUGUGUUGGUUACUUCAGUAGUGUGCUAUAAGUUACAGAUGGAACUUCUUUUCAUGAUCUUAUUUAUAUUCCGAGAUAGAAAAGGGUUGUUUUUUUUUUUAAGAUUUUUUUAUGGGUUUUACCAAUAGUUUCUGCAAACUCUGGUUAUAAAAUCGGAUGAGGUUCUCAUUGGCUUUAUUUGGUGACAAGGAAAGAAGUAUUUUGUGCAUAGUUAUUUCGAUCAUUGUGAGUUUUUCAUGUUUAGGAACAAUUGUCUAUUUGUCUGAGUUGUGCAACUUUUGAGCUAAGCAGGCUAGUCUUCUAGGAGCAUUUUUAUGGUUGUCAAAGUUUCAGAUAAAUCAUAUUGUGUUCAUGUUUCAUGAUAAUAUUGAUAUAUUUAGUUGAAAGAAUGGAUUUUAGGUGAUCUUUGAAUAUAUUCUUGGAAGUUUGCAUUGUCUUCCAUAGGAGUUCUCUAUUUUCGGUUUACUUGGAGAUGCAAAAUGGAGACGACAAAAUAGAGUUCCAUAAAUGAAGGCAGAGAAGCAGAAAGCAACAAUGAUGGAACAAAGGUAAUGCACCACUUAAAUGCAGUUCCUAAAGAGCAUGCGUUGAAUAUACUAUGGGAGCUUCUUGUGUAAAUGGUGUUGUCUUUCUGGAGAAUAUCAGAAAUGGAUGGAGAAGUGAUGUACAUAGGCCUCCUAGUAAUUGGGGGCUUGGAAGCUCGGCUAGGCCAUUGGGAUUGGAUUGUGAACAUUGAUUCAGCACAACAGAAGACGUAAAGAUCGUAGGAGAUGAUUCAGCAGACACCACAAGUGUCGAGUGAUCUGUUUCAUUGGGAAUUAUCAAGAAUUGUUAGAUCCUUAUUUUUAUGGAUGUUGUAAUAGUUUGGGUCACAAAUAAUAUUGAUCCUUUUUUUUUUCUUUCAGAAUGUAAAUUUAUAUUUGGUUUAUUAGCUUAUUUUGAAAUGAAAUGAAAUGGGAACUCUUGAAUGUUUGUAUCUCUGUCAUGUAUAAAUAAAAACAUCUCUUUACCCUUGA